AAUCACUUGUCUUUUAAAUGGAGACCUGUAUGAAUGGCACAACGAGGGCUUAACUGUCUCCUUCUUCCAGUCAAUGAAAUUGAUCUCCCCGUGCAGAAGCGGGGAUCACACCAUAAGACGAGAAGACCCUAUGAAGCUUUAGGUACAAAAGCAGCCCCUGUCAAACACCCCUGAUAAGGGACUAAACCUUAAGGAGCCUGCCCUAAUACCUUCGGUUGGGGCGACCCUGGGGUACGACAAAACCCCCAUGCGGACUGGGAGCACCACCCUUAUUACUCCCCUCCUAUAAACCUGAGCGACGACUCUACUUAACAGAACUUCUGACCCCCUCGAUCCGGCAAUGCCGAUUAACGAACCAAGUUACUCUAGGGAUAACAGCGCAAUCCUCUUUUAGAGCCCAUAUCGACAAGGGGGUUUACGACCUCGAUGUUGGAUCAGGACAUCCUAAUGGUGCAGCCGCUAUUAAGGGCUCGUUUGUUCAACGAUUAA
rnacentral:rRNA from 1 species